UUCAAGUCAUUUGGAAGCUCCGGUCAUUAGUGACCACUGUGACAGUCAACGUAUUAACGGAUCACGUGACCUGAAAUAAGGAACAAUUCCUUUUCGUAAAACAUUUCCAGUAAAAAACUUCCGAGUGCAAAAAAAUUUAAAUAUUUCCAGUAAAAAAUUUCCGAACGUAAAAAAGUCUGAAAUAUUUUCAGUAAAAAACUUCCGAGUGCAAAAAAAUAUAAAUAUUUCCAGUAACAAACUUCCGAGUGCAAACGGUUAAAGGACCACGUGACCUGUAAUAAGGAAAAAUUUCUCUUCGUAAAAGUGGCUGUAAUCGGAUUCGAUCGGCCACGCGAUUUGCAUUUUCCAGCAGAGUUAAUUGGACACGAGCUUAAUACGUACAUACUUGCGAACAGAGAGUGUAAUUUUUAUUUCGUGCAUACGUGACAAAGACGUUCGAACGCCCACUAUCGGCCGUAUUUGCCGCGGAGCGCACGCCUGUUCCAGGAAAGGCUGCAACGACACGGAAUUCUAUCAUGAACGCUGCCGACGGUCCGGGAAACAUCUCCGAUUCCGAAUUCUUUCGGGCCGCAGCGAAUUUGAUACACGACUCGCUCCUGGAACUGUUGCGGCCGUGAGAACGCCCCGACGGAUUCCUCCGAGAAGCGUGACCGAAUCUUCGCUUCCGUGAAGGGUGCUUACAAUAGCGAAACGUAACGGUUCAAUCAAAUUAUUACGAAGUGUCGUACAACAAGCUGAAGAGGAACCGUUGCUGAUAAUCUAACCUUAAAAUGUUAUGCAUCCUGGAUGAAUGAAAUGGAAAAAAAAUGGAAAAAAAAAUGAUUUGCGUGUUUGAUAUGUCUAUAUGCAAACAGAGGUUGUAUAAUUGUCGUAUGUCUUUAUUUAUUUAUAUUUGAAUUUAUAUUGUUAUGUUAUUCAUCCUGGAUGAAUGAAAUUGAAAAAAAAAUAGGAAAAAAAAAUGAUUUGCAUAUUUGAUAUAUGUACAUGCAAACAGAGGUAGUAUAAUCAUCGUAUCUUUAUUUAUUUAUAUUUGUAUUUGUAUGAUAAUUAUUAUAUUCUUGGUAUUUUCCGUAGUUGAGAUUAAUCGGGAUUAUUAGUUCGUCGAAAUAGUUUGCGAACGUUGACUGUGUAAUCUUUCGCAAGACGUUAUCAGGAAUUCCGCAAUUACAAUCGUAAUUAGUCACCGCACGACGAUCGCGACACACGUGCUUUGAACCGUGCAAUUGACACGCCUUGCGUAGGAAGACGAAAAUUUCUGAUCUGGAUCAAUUUACUGGCUCAACGAGUGGGAGCUCGCUGGCAAUUACCUCGCCCGUUCUUUCUCCGUAUUUCGUUCGUUCCGCCCGCUUAUUCCUUCGACGGCUUUCCUGCGUUCGACGUACCAGGCGAGCAAAUCUAAAGACCGCUUAUACGAAGUUAACCGCAAUACACGUAAAUAGCUCUCAACGUUGAAGGAUGAACGAUAUCCAACUUCCGGCGACGCAUCGCGUUACACAUACGCUAACCAGUGCAAUUGUUUUCUUCCGUGUGCAAAUGAUUAUUACAACUGGCUGUACUUUGACCUCUUGCCUUAUGAUUUCUUUUGCAACAAUUAUUUAGUUAUCAAUCACUCAGCAGAUCUUUCUCACGAGUCUCGUAUUGUUUAGCAAGGGUUUAAAUAAUUACCACCCUGCUAAUGAGAUAAGGAAGAAAGAUUUGUAGAUACGCAAUACGUGAUCUUUCUCACGAGUCUCGUAUUGUUCAGCAAGGGGUUAAACAACCGCCACCCCAAUAAGAUAAGAAGGAAGAAGGAUUUGUAGAUGCGCGACACGUGGUAUCACGAAUGCAGAGACAUCGAACGAUGCGCCGCCGAAUCGAUGAGCACGGAAACUUUUGCGGCUAAAUAUAGCGAUGAAAUUGACCGAAGGUUACAGAGAAGACGGCCUGCUUAGGGGACCGUUCCAUGCUGCCCGUUCUCGGUUUUCAUCCCGCCAUUUACAUUCCAUUCGAGUAAAUGGAAUCGCAGUUAUUAGCACCUGGUUCUAUGGAACAUGAAAAUGAACGAGUUACGAAUAGCGAGUCAGCGUGCCACGGCAUGCGACAGGGCAUUCGACAAUGGCAACCCGAUCCUCGGACAGAAACCAUUACUGGAAAAUCAAGUGUAGCGUUCUGGGAAGCAGCCGUGCGAGCAAGCCUAAAAACACGAAACUGUUAAGCGUGUAAAUAUGUAACCGGUCGGGCACGCUGCCGACCCGAGUCCGCUUCAAGAAGGCAUUGCAUUUGUCGGGACGAAUUGAACGUACCGUAUCGGUGGGACAAUGUUCCUUUAGAAGUCUGAGGAUUCGUUGUCUGGAAUGUUUAUUUAACUCGGUGCUUUUCAUUUUUUUCUGUGGCACGCCUCAACUAAGCUUUUCUAGAAUUAUUAUGCCCCCUGUGUAACAUAUAUAUAUAU